AAUCAACGCUGGCGGCGUGCCUCAGACAUGCAAGUCGAACGCGAAAGCCCCCUUCGGGGGGCAAGUAGAGUGGCGCACGGGUGAGUAACACGUAGGUAAUCUACCUUUGGAUGGGGAAUAACCACCGGAAACGGUGGCUAAUACCGCAUAAUGCAGCGGCACCUAAUGGUGACAGUUGUUAAAGCGGGGGAUCGCAAGACCUCGCGUCUGAAGAGGAGCCUGCGGCGGAUUAGCUAGUUGGUAGGGUAACGGCUUACCAAGGCGAUGAUCCGUAGCCGGCCUGAGAGGGCGGUCGGCCACACUGACACUGACAUACGGGUCAGACUCCUACGGGAGGCAGCAGUCGGGAAUUUUGGGCAAUGGGCGAAAGCCUGACCCAGCAACGCCGCGUGAAGGAUGAAAUCCCUCGGGAUGUAAACUUCGCAAGAACGGGAAGAAUAAGUAAGAGUUAAUAUCUCUUACGAUGACGGUACUGUUUGUAAGCUCCGGCUAACUCCGUGC
rnacentral:rRNA from 1 species